AUUGACCUCGGAUCAGGUAGGGAUACCCGCUGAACUUAAGCAUAUCAAUAAGCGGAGGAAAAGAAACCAACAGGGAUUGCCUCAGUAACGGCGAGUGAAGCGGCAACAGCUCAAAUUUGAAAUCUGGCCCCUUUCGGGGUCCGAGUUGUAAUUUGUAGAGAGUGCUUCGGGCGAAACAACGGUCUAAGUUCAUUGGAACAUGGCGUCAUAGAGGGUGAGAAUCCCGUAUGCGACCGUGGCUUGAGCCCAUGUGAAGCCUCUUCGACGAGUCGAGUUGUUUGGGAAUGCAGCUCAAAAUGGGUGGUAAAUUUCAUCUAAAGCUAAAUACUGGCUGGAGACCGAUAGCGCACAAGUAGAGUGAUCGAAAGAUGAAAAGCACUUUGGAAAGAGAGUCAAACAGUACGUGAAAUUGUUGAAA
rnacentral:rRNA from 1 species